CAAAGAGAUAGUUUGUGCACAUCUGAGUAAGCAGUAAUAAGUCACUCAAUGUGUUUAUUUUAUUUGUGAUAAGACUCUUAACGGACGAACGUGGCAAAACUCCACGCUCUUAUUUUGAAGCCCCACGUCCUCCCUCUUCCGCUCCCGUCCGCGGCUACUUGCUGGCGGCUUGACUCCAACAGUGUCAUAGAGGGGGACGAUCCCGGAGCGAGCUUAUUUCUGCCCUCACGUUCGCUGCCGGAGACGAGAGUCCGCUGGUUCCGAUGAAAGAACUCAGUCGUAACUCGGGGUGCAUUUCAUAACCCGGCCUAACCAACCCUCCCACAUGUGCUGACACGUCUCCAGGUAUUACACACAUCCCGUCGGGUCGGCGGAGGGAACGUUCACUCGGCUGGUUUUUGACACGCUGUGAGAAACAUACGAGAGACGCGCAGAGGGGGAAGAUGUUGCUGAAGGAGUACAGGAUAUGCAUGCCCCUCACAGUGGAGGAGCUGGCCGUUUCCCGUUCAAAACAUGAUUUUUCAGGAACUGCAACUUGACUGAUACCUGGUCACACACAGCCGCCAGGCAGUGACUCUAAUUUUGAAUUUGAAACAUCAAAACCGGUGAGAAAUGUAAUUUGCCUUUUGACUUCCAUGAUAUUAAUUUUCAUUUUUUUUUAUGAAAUUGAAACCCACAUGCAGUGUGAUAGCAGCGGGGUAUUAAUUAGGCUGCUCUGACCUGCUACUUACCUCAUUUAUGUUUCUCUCAGAGACCUUACACAGCCGUCCUUUUUUGGCACACGUGGGUCGGCAGGAAUGAAUUGCUCU
rnacentral:lncRNA from 1 species